UCGGCCGUGGUGUAAUAGGCAGCACAGCGUCUUUUGGUGUCGCUUGUCCGGGUUCGAAUCCUGGCGGCCGAGCCC
rnacentral:tRNA from 1 species